UACGUAGGGUCCGAGCGUUGUCCGGAAUUACUGGGCGUAAAGAGCUCGUAGGUGGUUUGUCGCGUUGUUCGUGAAAACUCACAGCUUAACUGUGGGCGUGCGGGCGAUACGGGCAGACUUGAGUACUGCAGGGGAGACUGGAAUUCCUGGUGUAGCGGUGGAAUGCGCAGAUAUCAGGAGGAACACCGGUGGCGAAGGCGGGUCUCUGGGCAAUAACUGACGCUGAGGAGCGAAAGCGUGGGGAGCGAACAGG
rnacentral:rRNA from 1 species